rnacentral:piRNA from 1 species
GAGAGAGGAAACUGUAGGGGGUUUU